GUGGGGAAUUUUGGACAAUGGGCGCAAGCCUGAUCCAGCAAUGCCGCGUGCAGGAAGAAGGCCUUCGGGUUGUAAACUGCUUUUGUACGGAACGAAACGGUCCGGGUUAAUACCCUGGGCUAAUGACGGUACCGUAAGAAUAAGCACCGGCUAACUACGUGCCAGCAGCCGCGGUAAUACGUAGGGUGCAAGCGUUAAUCGGAAUUACUGGGCGUAAAGCGUGCGCAGGCGGUUUUGUAAGACAGGCGUGAAAUCCCCGGGCUCAACCUGGGAACUGCCUUUGUGACUGCAUAGCUGGAGUGCGGCAGAGGGGGAUGGAAUUCCGCGUGUAGCAGUGAAAUGCGUAGAUAUGCGGAGGAACACCGAUGGCGAAGGCAAUCCCCUGGGCCUGCACUGACGCUCAUGCACGAAAGCGUGGGGAGCAAACAGGAUUAGAUACCCUAGUAGUCC
rnacentral:rRNA from 1 species